AGACGAACCGUCCAAACGUUAUUCGGUAUCACUGGGCUUAAAGCGUGCGUAGGCGGUCUAGUAGGUGAGAUGUGAAAGCCCACGGCUCAACCGUGGAAUUGCGUUUCAAACCACUAGGCUUGAGGAUGGCAGGGGUGAUGGGAACUGAUGGUGGAGCGGUGAAAUGCAUUGAUAUCAUCAGGAACACCGGUGGCGAAGGCGCAUCACUGGGCCAUUUCUGACGCUGAGGCACGAAAGCUAGGGUAGCGAACGGGAUUAGAUACCCCGGUAGUCCUAGCCGUAAACGAUGAGCACUGGGUUGAGGGGACUUCCACAUCCUCUCGGCCGUAGCGAAAGCGUUAAGUGCUCCGCCUGGGGAGUAUGGUCGCAAGGCUGAA
rnacentral:rRNA from 1 species